GAGAAGGAUGUUCACGAGAGUAGACUUAAUAGUUUGUUAAAUGUGUGGAGAAGGUUGAGACAAGUGCUUGGUAGCAGCGACGUCCAGUGCUGUGUUGUUCUUGUGUCUAGUUAUAUAUACCUCCCAGUUUUCUGUUUUACCGUUUUCACUCUUUAUGACUGACACUACAGCGUUAUGACAAGCUCUAGGAUACUGCUGGAGUGCCGUGUUAAUUGUAUUGUCCCGUCAGAGCCGUGAAAGGUAUAGCCGUGAGGUACAGUGUGUUGGCCUGGGAGAGCUUCCUCGCAUGCAAUAGUUGUGGUAAUUGCAAGCUCUUCAAGAUGGGCACUGUGCCUAAUAAAGGAUAGAGACCGUAAAGAUUAUGAGGUGAAGAAUGAUGCCUCAGAAAGACAAUCGCAUGUGUGUUGUCAAAGAUGAACCUGCCACAUUGUUAUCUUAACUGAGUCAAUUGGAAGAACUGAGAGUUGAGAGUCCAUGGCAUCACUUGUUUGUACUUUUAUUUGAUUGCUACUAAUUGUAUGAUGUUCCAGUAGCCAUAUUAACAGCUACAUAUUUGAUAUAUUUGGAUAUAUGUGCAUGUAGUAUCACUCAUUAUCUUUACAUAAAGGCAUUGAGCAUAGGUACUAGUGUAAUGCAGUCAAGACAUAUGCCACAGUGCAGCAAGGUCAUUUGUGACAUAGAUCUUGACCGUGUGCAUAUUUUUUUACUGGAUAUAGAUAACGGCAAUAAUCAGUGGUCUGUAAAUUAUGUAGUAACCUUAGGAUAUACAGAAAAAGGAUAAGACUUGUUUUAAAUGCAUUUACUACAUUAAUGCAAUAUAAAUUUAUGGUAAUGUGUCUAGGUAAAAAAAAAAUAUGGAGAAAUGUGAUAUAAAGUUGGUUAUUUUUGAAACUGACACUUAACAAGUGCACAUUAAUACUUUAAGUAGAGCUUAUGAAUUGAAAUGGGUUUUAAAAGAAAGAUCAGUGCCUAUCUUUAUGAAACCAUGAAAACUAGUAUAGUGAUGUCAUUUAUUAGUUUACAAUUAAUAUAUGCUAAUGUGGACAUACAGAAUUAAACAAACUAUGUUUUACAGAAUGUAUAAAUUUUUCAUAUAAUUUCUUUUUCAGUCUGUCAACAAAUUCAAAAACUAAAAGAUUCCCAAUUUUCCAAUGGUACCGUAAAAUGUAUUACUCUUAUUCAUUUGCAGAAAACUUCAGGUUUGGACUUUGGGAUUACUUGACAUGGAAUAACUUUGUGUUGGUAAUCAAAAUACAUUUUUCUUUUCAAAACAUACAAAAAUAAAGUACUGUACAGUAUAAAGCAUUGAAAAGCCCAAAGUAUUUGCCAGCAUUUCAAGCAAAUUGUUAAUCUGUUUAAAAUAUAAAUAUAAACAUGUGAAUGCUAGGUCUGUGUUCAUACAUCAGGGUGCCACUGUUUGCAGUUUAAGUUGCUUUAUGAGAGAAAUUUGUGAUGGCUUGCACUGAAAAGCCAUGUUCAUGGAAUGAACAAGCCAAGGAUCAAAGGGGUGAAAUAUACUGAGGCAACAAACAUCAGUUAUAGCAGAAAAUAAGGAAAGUUACAUUUAACACACCAGCUCUACCUGUAAUUCCCAGAUGUUGUAUUUAUUUCGUAGAAGUGCCAAACCCAUAGGGGUAGUACAGUGCUUUGGGGAAUGGGGGCAUUGAUAUUCAAUCCAAGGAAAGAGAGGAACUCUAAUCCUUAGAUCAAGUAUGCUUGUGCUCCCUGAUGCAUUGUUUGAGGCUUCUAGAGGUCUCUCUCCCACGUGUACAGUUGUCACACCCCUUCUUCCCACUUGGAAAUUUUAUGAUUCCAGAAUUUUUCGCUAGACUGUCUUGCUCAAACUGGACACAGCCUGUACUUUGACUCUUCUCCACAGGCAGCACUUGACCUUGACCCAAUACGUAUAUAUAUAUACUGUACUGCAUAAACUUUGGUUCUCUGUAUUGAAUUGACAAAGCCCCUGGUGGAUGAGUCAUCUUAAUAAAUGUCUUAAUACCA